rnacentral:rRNA from 1 species
UGCCGCGUGAGUGAUGAAGGCCCUAGGGUCGUAAAGCUCUUUCGCCGGGAAGAUAAUGACGGUAGCAGGUAAAGAAACCCCGGCUAACUCCGUGCCAGCAGCCGCGGUAAUACGGAGGGGGUUAGCGUUGUUCGGAAUUACUGGGCGUAAAGCGCACGUAGGCGGAUCGGAAAGUUGGGGGUGAAAUCCCGGGGCUCAACCCCGGAACGGCCUCCAAAACUAUCGGUCUAGAGUUCGAGAGAGGUGAGUGGAAUUCCGAGUGUAGAGGUGAAAUUCGUAGAUAUUCGGAGGAACACCAGUGGCGAAGGCGGCUCACUGGCUCGAUACUGACGCUGAGGUGCGAAAGUGUGGGGAGCAAACAGGAUUAGAUACCCUGGUAGUCCACACCGUAAACGAUGAAUGCCAGUCGUCGGGUAGCAUGCUAUUCGGUGACACACCUAACGGAUUAAGCAUUCCGCCUGGGGAGUACGGUCGCAAGAUUAAAACUUAAAGGAAAUUGACGG